AGGUGACGGAGAGUGUAUAAUGUGUAAGUUGUUUACAACCGGAACGAAAAAAAUUUAGAACCUCACAUUGGAAUAGGUUAGGUAUGAGUUAUGUCUAAAAUGUAUUAUCUAGACACCGGAAUCAAACUAUAUAACGUUGUUAGACGGAGGCGACGAGAAGAUCUAAAUGAUACGUACUACAAUUAAGUUGAUUUAAAAACUUUUUUCCAAUCACUUGGUUGAAUACUAUAUAUUUACAUAAGAUUCCCAAGUACCAUUAUUGCAAUACUACGUGUUUAUUUGUAUUUUAAUUUCUAUCAAUUUUAGAGUCAGAUAACAGAUUACAUAUUUUUCAUACUUCAAUAUAACCGAGUACUAUGAUAAUUUUAUGGAUUACAUCACAUCUUUAUCUUGCAGAUUACAUUAUUUUGCAGAUUUUUACGAUAUUUACUAAUACUUUUAUUUAACUAAUACUCAAACCUGUUAAUUUAGUGUAUUUUGAGUUUAACAGUAUCGUUAUUCUCGCGUCCAUAAACGAUAUUAUAAUAUUAUAGUAUAUUCAUCUGAGUGCUUCCUUCAAAACAUAGUUGAACUCAAGAUGCAUACGGUUUUCCAUCAUGUUUGUCCCUAUUAAUAACCUUUUUUGAGUUGUUAGUAUUGUUCAAAAAUUAUUUAAAACAUUUUUUCUACGUUAGACUACGCGCGGUAUUAUAAUAUUAAUUAUUGCUAAUCAUAAUUUUUAGAUUUACCAACCUAUUAAGAUAUUACAAAAAAUGGCAUAUUAUUUAUUUUAUUUUAUUUCAAAGUUUUUGGAGUUAAAUGUCAUUAAAUUUCAUUAUAAUAUAUUCGAAAAGAAACUUUUAAUGUGUUAAAUUUUAGUCGGUAGACUGGUAUACGAUACAAAAUACAGUUAAACACCUUGCUCUUAACGACACAAUGUGGUGUAAUUUUACAUUGUUAACGAAGUAGUACCGGCGUGCAAAUGUCCACACAAUAAUAUUUGUUACGUGCAUUUUUUUUUAACGCGUGGAAAGUCCAUAACUUUAUUAAUUUAUUAGGAUUAAUAUAAAUACAAGUUCAAGGUAAAACCAUAUAAAUCAAUUAAUUUUGAAUUUCAAUAUUUCAAAAAUUAUAAUUAUUAAAAUACCUUAAAGUAAUUUUAUUUGAAUUAAUUUUUUUUUCGUCGUUGUUACAAAAUUACAUUAGGCACAUUCAACAUACGUGUUUACUCAACAACUGUACGUAGUAAUUUUGAAUUUCUGAAACUCCAUAAAUUUAUACUUAUAAUUUAUGCUAAUUAAAUAUUAUAUACGUAUAUAGUACCAAAAAAAAUCAUAAAAAUAUUUAGAUAUUUAAAUGUAAACAUGCAUAUUGCCCACGUCAUGGAUGAAUUUCAAUGAGUAUUAUUCUGAGACGGUUUUUUUUCUAGUAGAAGAAGUACCAACGUAUUUAAAAAAAUUAAAAUAUCACAUAAUAUAUAUUAUUCAAAUUCAAAUAUAUAUAAUUUAACAAUUCUAAUGUUAUGGGUACUUUUAAAACUACUAUAAGAAGACUAGAGGCCUUAACUUUAAAGAUAACACAAGCAAUUUCAAAACUUUUUAACGCUCCUAAAUACAAUGUUUACAUUUUCAUCAAUGCAUUUUUAUACUAUAGAAUUUUGUAAAUUAGAACAUAUAUCUAAUAUAAUUAUUGUUGAAAAAUUGUUUAGCACUAUGUGUAUAACGCAGAUAAUAUCUCAUCUUUUCGCAAUUUCCUAUUGGCAAUUCAUACUACUUACGAACAAAAAUCUGUUAUUAAAAUAUAUAAAACUCGUUUUAAAAAAAUACAAUUUUAACUGAUUAACUUAAGCUACGAUGAAUGAUGAAUUCAUUAUUUGUACGUAAAAAUAAUGCAACGUAAUAAAUAACAUUAGAUUUUUAUCGGGAAUCAGAAAAUUACGAUUCUAUAAUGUCGUAUAUAAACAUAUUUUAUUUUUAAACGCCAUUAAUGGCGCAUGUAACAUCAUUUAAAAUUUUAGCAAAAAAUAAAAUGGCGCAUUUCGUAUUCUAUAUUGUGACUUUAUUUUUAAAUGAAUGUUUAAUGAGUUUAUCUGUUCAAAACAAUGAUGUUCUGGUAAACAAAUAUAAUUUUCGUAUUUAUUUUUAUUUUUUAAAUAACAAAAUAAUUUUUUCUACCUGUACAAAGAGAGGUUGACAAAUGAAGUAUUGAACUAAACAUAUUAUAAUUAAUAGUCUGAUUUAACGUUAUAAAUUUUUACAAUAAAAUAUGUACAAAUUUAUUGACAUUUUGAUUUAACAUCAACUCUUGUGUUAAUCGGUGUCUUAGAAUAUAUAGUCGCGGAUUCAAUAAAAUAUCGGUCAACGUACGAUAUUGCUAUUUGAUCAUAAAAUAAAAGUGAAGAUGAUUUUGUUUAUGUUAUUAUCAUAGUUUAACGUGAUUUUAAUAUUCUCUGGAUUUCUAUUUAUAGUACAAACGCGGAGUAUAGUUUAAUCAACGUAAAGAAAUUUGUACAUUCAAGGACUACGUACGUCACGCAAUAAAGUUUAUGAUCAAGGUUCAACUCUACUACAAAACCACUAUAAACAGUGUUAACACUGUAAUAUUAUAAAUCCGCUCAUCAACAGGAGUAAUAUAAAAAGCACAAGGCAUACGCACUACACAUACAUACGCAUGCAGAUGACAAAUCGUCUCCGAUAAAAUUUAUUUACACGAAUUUCCUAGGAUUUUUAGUACCAGAAUACCCGUACGAAGUUCACGAAAAUUAAUGUAUAUACCAUUUUACGUCAUAGUUCUACUCAGAUAAUUAUUAUAUGGAAAUGUAUAUAAUUAGUAUAAUAACUAUAUAUUAUUAUCUUUAUACGCUUGCAACCGACUAAAUGUAAAACUACGUAUGACGUAUUUUCGGCGAAUUAUUAGGCGGAUGGAGACUUAAACGCAGUUUUAAAAGUAUUGUUGCUAACUAAACGAUUAAAUGUAUCUAUACAUAAGCAAUAUUAUCAACUAUAAAAAUUUAAUUUAUCCACUUGUCUUUGACAAAGUAUUGAAAUUGGUAUUUUUUCAAAUGCGAGAAAAUAAGUUUUCAUUUACCAAUAAUAUAGUAUUAUAUAGGUUGGAAUAAAAUAAAUAAAUUUGAAUAUUUAAAAAUUAUAAUACACUAUUAUCUAAAUUAGUAGGUAUAGAAAAUGUAUUUACUACUUAUUUCGGUCACAAACCAUUAUAAACUAACUGAAAUUUAGACAUGCCUGUAUAUAAUUUGAACAAAGCAUAGUUUGAUUAGUGAAAUUUUGUCCACGGUGAGCUAAAAAAUAAUAAUAAAUACCAACAAGAGGUAGGCUGUUAAUAAUUUCAACGCUACAAUAAGCACAAUAAUUCAUUUAAAACAAUUUACAAAAUAACUAAAUUAUCUCAUUUUGUUUUCAAACAUUUGUUGUGAAAUCGUUUUGAUAAUAGUCAAAAUUAUAAAUGCUUGUGACAGUAGUUUAAAUAAGAACAAUGGAUAGCCCAACAAUUUAAAUAUAAAUGUACCAAAUUAAAACCAUUAGAUAACGGGUGUAAUUUAAAAUAAAUAUUCUAAACUUGAUUUGCAUUGUUUUUAGGGACUACAAAUUUGUAAUAACGAUAAGGUUUUUGUUUUUAUUAGGAUCAAUUUAUAUAUAUAUUUAAAUUUAUGUAUCAAUAAGACAUAAAUAGAAUAAUAUAUUGUAUUCAUUUAAGGAAAAAGCUAAGAAUACGUUAUUAAAAAUAUCUUUUAAAAAAACCCGAUUUGUUCAUGACA